UACGUAGGGGGCAAGCGUUGUCCGGAUUUAUUGGGCGUAAAGAGCGCGCAGGCGGUCGUUCAAGUCGCGUGUGAAAGCCCCCGGCUCAACUGGGGAGGGUCACGCGAUACUGAUCGACUCGAAGGCAGGAGAGGGUAGUGGAAUUCCCGGUGUAGUGGUGAAAUGCGUAGAUAUCGGGAGGAACACCGGUGGCGAAGGCGGCAUCCUGGACCAACACUGACACUGAGGAGCGAAAGCCAGGGGAGCAAACGGG
rnacentral:rRNA from 1 species